CCUACGGGAGGCAGCAGUGGGGAAUCUUGCGCAAUGGGCGAAAGCCUGACGCAGCAACGCCGCGUGCGGGAAGAAGGCUUUCGGGCUGUAAACCGCUUUCAGCAGGAACGAAAAUGACGGUACCUGCAGAAGAAGGAGCGGCCAACUAUGUGCCAGCAGCCGCGGUGAUACAUAGGCUUCAAGCGUUGUCCGGAUUUAUUGGGCGUAAAGAGUUCGUAGGCGGUCGAGUAAGUCGGGUGUGAAAAUUCUGGGCUCAACCCAGAGACGCCACCCGAUACUGCUUAACUUGAGUUCGAUAGGGGAGUGGGGAAUUCCUAGUGUAGCGGUGAAAUGCGCAGAUAUUAGGAGGAACACCGGUGGCGAAGGCGCCACUCUGGAUCGAUACUGACGCUGAGGAACGAAAGCAUGGGUAGCAAACAGGAUUAGAUACCCUGGUAGUCCAUGCCGUAAACGGUGGGCACUAGGUGUGGGAUUCUAUUAACGAAUUCCGCGCCGUCGCUAACGCAUUAAGUGCCCCGCCUGGGGAGUCGGUCGCAAGCUAAACUAAAUGAAUUGACGNUUGAGAGUUGCGAGCGACACGAGGGAGAG
rnacentral:rRNA from 1 species